rnacentral:rRNA from 1 species
UGACCUAAACCCUCACCAGAGUACAAUUGGAGGGCAAGUCUGGUGCCAGCAGCCGCGGUAAUUCCAGCUCCAAUAGCGUAUAUUAAACUUGUUGCAGUUAAAAAGCUCGUAGUUGAAUUUUUGCGUCACCGUGUAUCGACAUUGGUCGUUUAUCGGUUUCGCUUUUGGGAUUUAUCCCUUUUUACUUUGAGAAAAUUAGAGUGUUUCAAGCAGACUUUUGUCUUGAAUACUUCAGCAUGGAAUAAUAGAGUAGGACUUUGGUUCUAUUUUGUUG